AUUGAACGCUGGCGGCAGGCUUAACACAUGCAAGUCGAGCGGAGCGAGGGUGCUUGCACCUUAGCUUAGCGGCGGACGGGUGAGUAAUGCUUAGGAAUCUGCCUAUUAGUAGGGGACAACAUUUCGAAAGGGAUGCUAAUACCGCAUACGCCCUAAGGGGGAAAGCAGGGGAUCUUCGGGCCACAUGCUAUCGGAUGUGCCUACGUGGGAUUAGCUAGUUGGGGAGGGAAGGGCUCACCAAGGCGACGAUCCCUAGCUGGUUUGAGAGGAUGAUCAGCCACACUGGAACUGAGACACGGUCCAGAAUCCUACGGGAGGCAGCAGUGGGGAAUAUUGGACAAUGGGCGCAAGCCUGAUCCAGCCAUGCCGCGUGUGUGAAGAAGGCCUUCGGGUUGUAAAGCACUUUCAGUAAGGAGGAAGCGUUGAGUGUUAAUAGUACUCAGCGUUGACGUUACUUACAGAAGAAGCACCGGCUAACUCUGUGCCAGCAGCCGCGGUAACAC
rnacentral:rRNA from 1 species